ACUGAUAACUAUGCGAUAGGUGACAACCAGUGAAAUCAGAACGACUCCAAUCGUCGCAGGCCACAGUACGUAUUUCUUUGUGCUCUUGAGUUUGCUAUUUCCCGAGUGUCUAUACAGAAACCAGAUCCAACGAUGCAUCGAACCAUUUUCCUGUGCAUUUUCAUGACAUUACUCGUCUUUGGCCCUGUCAACAUGGUCAAUGGCCAAGGUGAUGGACGCAAUGGGUGCACGGAUCGCCUGACACUGACUGAAGACAGUGAGGCAGCCGAAAAUGGCAUGAAGCUAACUCCGUUCAUCCGGAGGCUGAAGAGAGCUGUUUCCGGUACGUUGAACAACUGCUGAAAGUACUUGACUGCCAUGCAGAAGAACACGAGUAUCUUCACCGAUCUUCUACCCAAGCCAAUACAUCUUUCUGACAGCUGACGAUCUCCAUAUCAACCAUAUUUUUUUAAAAAUCUAUAUUGUCUUAAAUGAGGUUCAUCUGAUUUCGCUGUUAAAUGUAAAUUUGAUUUAAAUGAACGUAACGCACUUUUGUCCUUCCCAAACGGAGGAUCACUCUGACGGCAAACAAUUAUCAGAUCAACUAUAGAGAUCAAACUCGUGUUGCUGAAGCUUCAUCUGGUUUUAAUAAAUUUCGAGAACGAUAGAAAAUGCAGGAAAAUACACAGUGUUUUGCAGCCUAAUGUAAAUAUUCAACCAGAAAAAAAUAUUCAUAUCAGUAAGUCCAUCGUGACUAAAAUCAACAAAUCGUUUGCAUACAGGUAUUUUCUUUUAAAGUGUCUUCUAAAAAUUGACAUAAUUUUCUGGUAUAUAAUGUAGAACAUGAUUUCAUAGUUACAUUGUUUCUUUUAUUGUCUACGAAUGAUUAUCUUUGUGGGUAGAACUAAAUAAAAAAAAUCAAACAUAAAUGCGUUACAAUUUCUCGUGUUUAAGGUAAUUAAAAUAUUUAGUUAAGAAAGUGGUGUGUCCGAUUGAGCCGAGAUGAUUGCUAACGUUGUCCUGGAUGAGUUUGGUCUAGGGAAGCUUUAAAAUGCCAGCCACCUUGACGAGGUGGCAAAAUAUUUUACCUUACCAUAUCGACAUAAUGUUCUCUAAUUGGGUAAUGUCGCUAUGCAAUGUUACAAGAAUAAAGGAGUUAUGUCAACAUA